AAAGGAAUUGACGGGGGCCCGCACAAGCGGAGGAACAUGUGGUUUAAUUCGAUGAUACGCGAGGAACCUUACCCGGGUUUGAACGCAUUUCGACGUAUGAUGAAAGUCAUAUUCUAGCAAUAGCGAUUUGCGAGGUGCUGCAUGGUUGUCGUCAGCUCGUGCCGUGAGGUGUCGGCUUAAGUGCCAUAACGAGCGCAACCCUCAUUGUUAGUUACCAGCAUGUAGUGAUGGGGACUCUAACAAGACUGCCAGCGUAAGCUGUGAGGAAGGUGGGGAUGACGUCAAAUCAGCACGGCCCUUACAUCCGGGGCGACACACGUGUUACAAUGGGGAGGACAGAGGGCAGCUACCUGGCGACAGGCUGCGAAUCCCUUAAACCUCUUCUCAGUUCGGAUCGGAGUCUGCAACUCGACUCCGUGAAGCUGGAUUCGCUAGUAAUCGCGCAUCAGCCAUGGCGCGGUGAAUACGUUCCCGGGCCUUGUACACACCGCCCGU
rnacentral:rRNA from 1 species